GACAGAGGGUGCGAACGUUGUUCGGAAUUACUGGGCGUAAAGCGCAUGUAGGCGGCCGCGCAGGUCGGGUGUGAAAUCCCUCGGCUCAACCGAGGAACUGCAUCCGAAACUGCGAGGCUCGAGUCCUGGAGAGGGUAGUGGAAUUCCCAGUGUAGCGGUGAAAUGCGUAGAUACUGGGAGGAACACCGGUGGCGAAGGCGGCUACCUGGACAGGUACUGACGCUGAGGCGCGAAAGCCAGGGGAGCAAACAGG
rnacentral:rRNA from 1 species